rnacentral:lncRNA from 1 species
AUCAUCAAGAAAAUUCGAAAUAGGUAGAAGUAGAGUAGAAAACGAGAAAAUCAAACUAAAAGCCAUUUAAAAGAGUGGAGAUUAAAGAGACAAAAAAAUUAGGAUUUUCAAACAGACUUUGGAAACGAAGAACCUGGCUGUGAAACUCGUAUAGAAGGCAUCCUCGUUCAAAGAUCACCAGAGAAACACCGGAAACAGAUCCCCACAUAGAGCUUCAGUGACCGUCUUCCAUGGCAGAAGCUGCUAGGCUUCAAGCUUGAGAGAAAAUCAUGAUAUAGGGAUGUCAUGGUUGCUGGGAAUCGAGAGGAGUGAGGGAGCAGUGAGCUGGUAUGACGAUGGAGGCCAUGAGAGAACUAGAAGGUUCAAAGGAGAUGAAAAGUUAGAGAGGGUCUGAGAGUGAAAGGGGAUACAAGGGAG